UAAGACAGAGGUGCCAAGCGUUAGGCGGAAUCACUGGGCUUAAAGCGUGUGUAGGUGGAACGUUAAGUGCCUUGUGAAAUCCCGCGGCUCAACCGCGGAACUGCUGGGCAUACUGGCGUUCUUGGGCCAAUCAGGGGUCGUCGGAACAAACGGUGGAGCGGUGAAAUGCGUAGAUAUCGUUUGGAACGCCGAAGGCGAAAGCAGACGACUGGGAUUGCGCCGACACUGAGACACGAAAGCCAGGGGAGCGAACGGGAUUAGAUACCCCGGUAGUCCUGGCCCUAAACGAUGUCCACUGGAUCGUGGUGCCUCUGACGGCAUCGCGGUCGGAGCAAAAGUGUUAAGUGGACCGCCUGGGAAGUACGGUCGCAAGGCUA
rnacentral:rRNA from 1 species